UGAAAGUAUUGAUUCAUUUUUCAGUGACGAAUUUGAAGAAAUCUAGUUUAUAGUUGAAGAAAUUGAAGGUUGAACUAAAUUUUUUCUUUUAAGUUAAUAUUUUUUCUUGCUAUUUGGACUGUUUCCCACUUGAAAUUAUAGUGAUGGAUUGAAUGAAUGUUUUUAGAGGUUUUUUUUGUGAUUUCAGUUACAAAGUAGGGUUUUUUUGUCGGCUUUUUGAGAAUUUCAUAAAUUUAGGGUUUAUUUUGGAGAUUUCACUGAUAAUAUAGGGUUAUUUUGGUAUUUUUAAAUUUAAGGAUAUUUUGGGUAUUUUCUUUUAUGCCGAAUCUUUAGGGAUUUGUUACAAAAAUGAACAACUAUAUUUUGACCUGUUUUCGUCAUGGGGGAACAUUGUAUCCGACCCUAAUCUUAGUUAUAAAGGUGAGUUAGAUAUCUUUGCUAUUGCCAUUGAUAAACACCAUUUCAAUCUUGUUGAAUUUCUUUCCUACACCAAAGAUCUUGUGUACUCAAAAGUUAAGGGGUUCUAUUAUCAACUUAUAGAUGGUGGGGGUUUAGUUCAAAUCACUUUUGAUGGUCAAUUGCUAGAGUUUGUAAAGGAGUUAAAAGAUGGUGAUGAGCUUGAUGUGUAUGUGUUUCAUGACAUUGAUGAAGAUGUUGAUGUUGUGGAAAAUGUUGUGCCUCUUUUAGUAGGGCCACAGUCUAAUGAUAAAGUUGAUAUAAGCAGUGAUGAGAAUGAAAAUAUAUGUCUUAAUAAAGAUCUGAAUGGUGAUGAAAUAGAUCUUCCCAGUAGUGAAUCAGAUUUGAUUGGUGAUAAUAUCCCUGAUGAGGAUGAUUCAGAUAUUGAUGAAGAGUUGAGAGCCUUUAGAGCUGAAAAUAGAAGAAAAAAAAUCCAAAUCAAGAGAAAAAAUACCAGUAGGUGAAGCUAGUAUUGAUAAAGGUUUUUAUUGGCAGGAAUAAGAACAAUAUAUAUGUGGGUAGAUUAGGAGGUGAUAAAGAGUAUAUUAAUAGUUCAGAUCGUGGUAGUGUUGAUAGCACUGAUUUGUUAGAUGAGGAUGCUGUUGUUGGUGUUGAUUUUCCAAGAAGAAGAAGAAGAAGUAAUAAAAUCAGAUUUGAUGAUGAUUGUGGUGUUAUUGUUUUUGAACUUGAUACAAUUUUUAAUGGUCCUAAGGAAUUUAGAAAAGCUUUGGGGAGGUAUACAGUGGAAAAUAGAGUUUAGAUUGUCUUAAAACCUAAUGAAGCUCAUAGAAUGAGGGCUAAGUGCAAAUUCAAGAAAAAAUUCAACUGGUUGUGUUAUGGUGCACUUGACAGAGACUCUGGUAAUUUUUUGAUUAAGAAUUAUAAUAUAGUGCAUAAGUGUACAACAUCAAACAAGAAUAAGAUGUGUACAACUAAGUUUGAUGCUGAUAGAUUUAGGGAUGAAAUAAGUAAACGACCGUCUUUGAAAAUUUAGGAAAUACAGAAAUUAUGCAGAAAAAAUUAGGAUUAUAUGUGGGUAAAACAAUCUAUUACAGGGAAAAGUUACAGAUCUUAAGGUAGGCCAUGGGGGAACGAAACUUGGAAUUUGCAAGAUUAUAUGAUUAUGCUGAGAUGAUCAAACAAACAAAUCCUGGUAGUUCUGUUUGGAUGAGAAUGGACAGUGAAACUAUCCCAGGUAAAAAUCUAUUUGUGUAUUUCUAUGUGUUUCUUGAUGCAUCAAAAAAAGGGUGGAUGGAAGGAUGUAGAAGAAUUAUAGGGUUUGAUGGAUGUUUCUUAAAGGGUGCUUGUAAGGGUGAACUUCUAGUUGCAGUUGGAAAGAAUGGAAACAAUCAAAUAUUUCCUAUUUCCUGGGCUGUUGUUUACAAGGAAACCAAGCAUAGUUGGAGUUUUUUUGUCAACUACUUGAAAGAGGAUCUGCAGUUGGGUACUGGAGCAGGUCUUACUGUGAUGGCUGAUAUGCAAAAGGUUUUUCAUGCUAUUGUUCUUGAGUUAUUACCGAAUACUGAAAUUAGAAGAUGUGCUAGACACAUCUGGGCUAACUGGAGUCAAGAGUGGAAGGGAGAAGAGAGAAAAAAUAGUUUUGGAAAUGUCAAAGGCAAGUUUUGAAGUAAAGUUCAAAGAAGAACUUGAUUACAUGAACCAAAUUGGUAGGCAAGGUAAUGAUAUCAUUGGUGAUUUGCUGCAUUAUCCUAGGGCAUCAUGGGUUAGAGCAUUCUUUAAAGAGCAUUGUAAGUGUGAUGCUAUUGAGAAUAACAUAUGUGAGACCUUUAAUUCAUGGAUCUUAGUCCCUAGACAUAAAUCUAUCAUUACUAUGUUGGAGGAAAUUAGGAGAAAAAUCAUGACUAGAACUGUGGAUAUGAUUAAGUUUGCCAAUACUUGGAUAUAUGAUAUUGCACCUAUGGCUAGACUUAUAUUGGAGAAGAAUAAUGAUAGGGCUAGGGCUUGCAAGCUGCUUUGGAAUGUUGAUAUUGGAUUUGAGGUUGGAGAAGGGGAGUAUAGGCAUAUUAUGAACUUGACUAAUAGGUUAUGUAGUUGUAGAACUUGGCAGUUGAGAGGCAUUCCUCGCCAACAUACCAUUUGUGCUUUGUGUUAUGUUGAAAAAGAUCCUGAACCUUAUGUUGAACAUUGGUAUAAGAAGGAAAUCUUCAUGAAGGCUUAUAAUCACUUUAUUCAACCAAUCUUUAAUAUAAAAAUGUGGCUUGAGACAAAUAAUCCAAAAAUUGAGCCCCCUGAACCUAAAAAAAAUGCCUGGCAGACCUGCAAAAAAUAGAAAGAGAGGCAAAGGGGAACCGGUAAAGAAAUCUGGAAAGAUUUCCAAAAAAAGGUGGGACAAUAACAUGCUCCAAGUGGAAUCAACAAGGCUAUAAUAGAAGAUUUUGCAAGAUUCCUGAUCCCAAUGCACAAACACAUAGCCAAGGAUUUCAGUUUACUGGUCAAAGUUUACAAGGAAGCUGCCAGCCUUAAUGCUCAAGCCAACCUUCACCUUUAACCUCAAAAAAAUCAGCAUCAUGUAGCUCAAGUCAACCUGGACCUUCAACCUCAAAGAAAUCAGCAUCAUGUAGCUCAAGUCAACCUGCUUCUUCAACUACAAUUUAUGGUGAUACAAGCAGAGUUAGAAGCUUGAAAGAAGCUACAAAAUCUACCUUUUGUGGUGAUAUAAGAAUUCCUGUUAGAAAAGGAAUCAAGAGUCAAUUACCUCCUAGAAGUAGAGCAACCAUUGGGCAGAAGAGGGGAAGAGUUGGAACCACAAAGGAUGUUGAUUAAGGUGGAUCAAAAAGGUUAAAGAAUGCUGGAUUUGGGAUCUACACUAGUGCAAGGGGAACCCAAAUACUGAAUCCUGGGACAUCAAGUCAAAGGAUCCUACAAAGUGGUACAUCUUACAAGGAUGCAAGUUCUACAGGGGUUAAUGUUGGUUAUAGGCCUAGAGGCUUGAAAUGAUAAAAUAAAUAUGCUGUCACCACUAAUCAAUUGCAGUAUAUGACCAACAAAAAGAAGAAGCAUUUUAGUCUGAUGGUGUAUUGUGAUUCUAUUGUGUAAUGUGCAGUACCAAACGAUCAAUUUAGUUUUUGAAGUAAAAAUUCUGGUUCUUUAGUUUUUGAAACCUGAAAAUUCAGGUUCUUUAAGUAGU